rnacentral:rRNA from 1 species
GACGAACGCUGGCGGCGUGCUUAACACAUGCAAGUCGAACGGAAAGGCCCUGCUUUUGUGGGGUGCUCGAGUGGCGAACGGGUGAGUAACACGUGAGUAACCUGCCCUUGACUUUGUGAUAACUUCAGGAAACUGGGGCUAAUACCGGAUAUGAUCUCCUGCUGCAUGGUGGGGGUUGGAAAGUUUCGGCGGUUGGGGAUGGACUCGCGGCUUAUCAGCUUGUUGGUGGGGUAGUGGCGUACCAAGGCUUUGAAGGGUAGCCGGCCUGAGAGGGUGACCGGCCACAUUGGGACUGAGAUACGGACCAGACUCCUACGGGAGGCAGCAGUGGGGAAUAUUGCACAAUGGGCGGAAGUCUGAUGCAGCAACGCCGCGUGCGGGAUGACGGCCUUCGGGUUGUAAACCGCUUUCGCCUGUGACGAAGCGUGAGUGACGGUAAUGGGUAAAGAAGCAACGGCUAACUACGUG